rnacentral:rRNA from 1 species
GGAGUCUGGACCGUGUCUCAGUUCCAAUGUGGGGGACCUUCCUCUCAGAACCCCUAACCAUCGUCGGCACGGUGGGCCGUUACCCCGCCGUCUACCUAAUGGUACGCGAGCCAAUCCGUAUGCAAUAAAUCUUUCAAUAUAAAACCAUGCGGUUCCAUAUAUUACGGGGUAUUACGCGACGUUUCCAUCGACUAUCCCCCACAUACGGGCAUGUUGCUCACGCGUUACUCACCCUUUCGCCGGUCGCCGGCAUGUAUUGCUACACCCGCUGCCCCUCGACUUGCAUGUGUUAAGCCUGCCGCUAGCGUUCAUC